rnacentral:rRNA from 1 species
UACAGAGGGGGCAAGCGUUGUUCGGAAUUACUGGGCGUAAAGGGCGCGUAGGCGGCCUUCUAAGUCGAACGUGAAAUCCCCGGGCUCAACCCGGGAACUGCGUCCGAUACUGGAAGGCUUGAAUCCGGGAGAGGGAUGCGGAAUUCCAGGUGUAGCGGUGAAAUGCGUAGAUAUCUGGAGGAACACCGGUGGCGAAGGCGGCGUUCUGGACAGUGACUGACGCUGAGACGCGAAAGCGUGGGGAGCAAACAGG